rnacentral:rRNA from 1 species
CGAUGAAGCCCAGCUUGCUGGGUGGAUUAGUGGCGAACGGGUGAGUAACACGUGAGCAACGUGCCCAUAACUCUGGGAUAACCUCCGGAAACGGUGGCUAAUACUGGAUAUCUAACACGAUCGCAUGGUCUGUGUUUGGAAAGAUUUUUUGGUUAUGGAUCGGCUCACGGCCUAUCAGCUUGUUGGUGAGGUAAUGGCUCACCAAGGCGACGACGGGUAGCCGGCCUGAGAGGGUGACCGGCCACACUGGGACUGAGACACGGCCCAGACUCCUACGGGAGGCAGCAGUGGGGAAUAUUGCACAAUGGGCGAAAGCCUGAUGCAGCAACGCCGCGUGAGGGAUGACGGCCUUCGGGUUGUAAACCUCUUUUAGUAGGGAAGAAGCGAAAGUGACGGUACCUGCAGAAAAAGCACCGGCUAACUACGUG